rnacentral:lncRNA from 1 species
UGCUAUAGUUAACCAUAGUAACUGGCUGAAGCUGAAAAAGGAACAUCAAGUUCUGGUGAGCCCUCACUCAGACUCUCCAGACCAAUGAACAAUGGGGCUUGUUAAAUCAAUCACAUAAGACCUAGGGUCUGGCUCCAUUCUAUCCAAAGAAGUAGUUUUCAAUGCUUACUUGGCAUAAGCACCUUGAAUCUUUCUAAAGCACUUACAAAAUUCUGACUUUUCCUUCUAAGUAAAUAGUCACUGAAUUUGUUUUUGUUUUUAACUGAUUAGUGUUUUCUUGUCAAAGAAAUAAACUUUGCUUUCUUCUUCUUCUUUUUACUAUUUAAACUCUGGUGGUCUUUGUUUCAUUUACAGAGAACAGGCAGUCAAUAGUGACUUAGCAAUGUAAAUUUUCUUUUUCAUCCCUGAACAAGUUCU